CUCGCUGUCCAUCUGAAGAAAUGAAAGAAGUGUGAGCAGAUAAUGCAUGACGUUUUCAAAUAGCACCUACCAAAAUGUGGCUCAUUACUCACCUCUAUAUUACCCAGCGAGCACUGCCUGACAACUAAUGAAGAGAAGAGAACCGGAGGAACAGCAGAAGGAUGAUAAAGGAUAGCAUCACAGAACUUAUUCCACAUAAACCCCACACGAUGUAGUGGUGGAUGCAGUGGACGAUGGGACAUCAGCAGAGGUGGAGAAUGGGAUGGUGAUGGAGACAGGAGCGCAGCUGUCACAUAGGCGUGUGUGUUCAUCGGGCACACACACGUAACCCUCUCGACAGCGACACA